rnacentral:rRNA from 1 species
AUUGAACGCUGGCGGCAUGCUUUACACAUGCAAGUCGAACGGUAACAGGCCGCAAGGUGCUGACGAGUGGCGAACGGGUGAGUAAUGCAUCGGAACGUGCCCAGUCGUGGGGGAUAACGCAGCGAAAGCUGCGCUAAUACCGCAUACGAUCUAUGGAUGAAAGCGGGGGACCGUAAGGCCUCGCGCGAUUGGAGCGGCCGAUGUCAGAUUAGGUAGUUGGUGGGGUAAAGGCUCACCAAGCCGACGAUCUGUAGCUGGUCUGAGAGGACGACCAGCCACACUGGGACUGAGACACGGCCCAGACUCCUACGGGAGGCAGCAGUGGGGAAUUUUGGACAAUGGGCGCAAGCCUGAUCCAGCAAUGCCGCGUGCAGGAAGAAGGCCUUCGGGUUGUAAACUGCUUUUGUACGGAACGAAACGGUCUGGAUUAAUACCCUGGGCUAAUGACGGUACCGUAAGAAUAAGCACCGGCUAACUACGUGCCAGCAGCCGCGGUAACAC